AUUGAACGCUGGCGGCCGGCCUAACACAUGCAAGUCGAACGAGCGGCGGACGGGUGAGUAAUGUCUGGGAAACGGCCUGAUGGAGGGGGAUAACCACUGGAAACGGUAGCUAAUACCGCAUACCAUCAGAUGUGCCCAGAUGGGUUUAGAUAGUUGGUGGGGUAACGGCUCACCAGGGCGACGAUCACUAGCGGGUCUGAGAGGAUGACCAGCCACACUGUAACUGAGAUACGGUCCAGACUCCUAUGGGAGGCAUGAGUGGGGAAUGGUUGUCAAUGGGCUCAAGCCUGAUGCAGCCAUGCCGCGUGUAUGAAGAAGGCCUUCGGGUUGUAAAGUACUUUCAGCGGGGAGGCGUUACCCGCAGAAGAAGCACCGGCUAACUCCGUGCCAGCAGCCGCGGUAAUAC
rnacentral:rRNA from 1 species